rnacentral:rRNA from 1 species
UACGAACUGUGCAAACGUUAUUCGGAUUCACUGGGUUUAAAGGGUGCGUAGGCGGCCAUGUAAGUAGGGUGUGAAAUCCCCCGGCUUAACCGGGGAACUGCGCCCUAAACUGUGUGGCUUGAGUGAGAUAGGGGUGUGUGGAACUUCCGGUGGAGCGGUGAAAUGUGUUGAUAUCGGAAGGAACGCCGGUGGCGAAAGCGACACACUGGGUCUCAACUGACGCUGAGGCACGAAAGCCAGGGGAGCGAACGGG